CAAUAGCGUAUAUUUAAGUUGUUGCAGUUAAAAAGCUCGUAGUUGGAUUUCGGGUGGGACGCAGCGGUCUCGCAUUGCGUUUGUACUGCUGCAGCCCUCCUUCUUGCCGGGGGCGGCCUCUCGGACUUCACUGUCUGGGGGUCAGAAUCGGCGAUGUUACUUUGAGUAAAUUAGAGUGUUCAAAGCAAGCUUACGCUCUGAAUAUAAUAGCAUGGGAUAACACGACAGGACUCUGCCUAUCGUGUUGGUCUAUAGGACCAGAGUAAUGAUUAAGAGGGACAGUCGGGGGCAUUCGUAUUCCGUUGUCAGAGGUGAAAUUCUUGGAUUUACGGAAGACGAACAUCUGCGAAAGCAUUUGCCAAGGAUGUUUUCAUUGA
rnacentral:rRNA from 1 species